rnacentral:tRNA from 1 species
CUCCGUGCCGGUCAGGUAGCCGGCCUCGCCGCUCUCGUCGGUGGUCGUCGGAAGGACGCGGGCCCGGAUCGUCACCGGGGCGCCGGGGCC